rnacentral:misc_RNA from 1 species
UCGUAUGAGCGAGGACAAUUACUAUCCUCCCGUCAAUACAGGGCACAUCAGGCUUUCGUAAGGGACAAUUGAUUCGGGCAAAAAGGGACAAAGUCCCCGACCGAUCUUUUGCUUCUACAUACAAGACUUCGAGCAACCCUUGGGCGUCCAAUGCCUGCUAGCUAAAUAAGAAAAGCAAGAGCGAACGUACAUGGGUGCUAAAUGGUCUACGUCGCACAAAACCUUUUAGCACGAGAUAGAGUAUGGAUCGUGGGACUAGAGCAUUCCGUCAAAAUAGGUAUGCUGCACAGGGGGCCAAGGCAGUCCAAGGUAAAAGAUUUAGCACUCAAACAGAAUUGAACAGGUGUGAACUAGCGAUUAUCGCUGCCAGGGCAGGGAACCAACCAACCGGAACAUACC